UGCCAGCCGCCGCGGUAAUACGGAGGGUGCAAGCGUUACUCGGAAUCACUGGGCGUAAAGGACGCGUAGGCGGAUUAUCAAGUCUUUUGUGAAAUCCUAUGGCUUAACCAUAGAACUGCUUGGGAAACUGAUAAUCUAGAGUGAGGGAGAGGCAGAUGGAAUUGGUGGUGUAGGGGUAAAAUCCGUAGAGAUCACCAGGAAUACCCAUUGCGAAGGCGAUCUGCUGGAACUCAACUGACGCUAAGGCGUGAAAGCGUGGGGAGCAAACAGGAUUAGAUA
rnacentral:rRNA from 1 species